CACGUGUGCCACUUCAGAUGCGGAGCUCUUGAACAUACUGCAUCUUCUGCUGCAUCUUUUCGCUAUCCCAAUGACCUCUGAAGUCCUUGUGCAAACUCAGCAGCCACAGUUUCUUAAGAGAACGAAGGGAUUCAAUACCUUGGGGGACCUUGUCGAGCUUUAGAAGUGACACAACAUAUAAACCCUCAAUCUGUUGAAGGGCACCGACUUUGAUCUCCACCUUGUCAACAUUGGGCAUGCGCUUCAAGACAAGCGUCUUCAGCUGUGGGAAGCACCCUUUAGAAAGAACUAAGGUGUCUGCAGUACUCACCCUGUUAAGACUAAGAUAGGUGAGAUUCGGCACGUAAGGUGCAAGCAGCUGCAGUGGAUCUUCCUGAAGGUGGCACCAGCUAAUAGCUAGAUAUUUGAGAUUUCUGCCACUGUCACGGAAUACAGGGCACUCAAGUGUCUUAUCUGCCCAGCACCCUCUGAUUAUCAAUCUGUGGAAGUUUUCAGAUGCUGGCUUCAGAUCUUCCAAAUGAAGUGUCUCGUUCUCAUCACUUGCAGAGAGAAGCAAGCUGGAAAGAAGAGGCAUCUUUGACAGUAUAGAGAAAAGGUUUGCGCAAUCCGCUGCACUUAUGUUGUCAAUCCACACACUCCUUAGUUUCGUAAGUUUUAUCAGCUGCUCAGCCAGGUCCUUGUUGGCUUCCACAGUUUCUAGAGUCUGAAGUUCUUCCAAGUUGGAUAGCUCUUUUGGUGCUUGCACUCCAAUGAAGUACCGGAACUCUGACUGCUUCUCAUCUGCAAAUCUGUCUGCCAGAAGGUGCCGUAACUUCUUGAUUUUAACAACACCUCUUGGUAGCUUCUCUAUUUUUGUUGCCUUUAUGUCCAGUGUUUGGAGGUUGGAGAGCUUUCCAAUCGAAUCUGGGAGUGAUUUAACUCUUGUGCGACGCAGACCAAUGUAGCGUAGAUUAAACAUAUUUCCUAUGGAUGCUGGCACUUCACUUAUUUCAGAAUCUUGCAACUCUAGAACUGUCAGGUACGUGGAUUCAGAAAGAACUGAAGAUAACAACUGAGGGGAGGAUCCAAUUAUUCCGAGUGCAACUGCGGUUCUAAGGCGUGGCAGUUGAAUUUUAACUUUCAGUGAAGUUUUGUCCUGCCAUCCACAGGAAGACAGGCGACGAACACCCUUGUCCAUCUUCACCAAUGUGCCAAAAUCAUACGCAAAACCAAACUUCUCCUCUUUAGCAACAGAAAGUGCCAGGUCACGCACAAGGUCAUGCAUCUUACAGGUGUGGACCCUUCCUAGCUCAUCGUUCUCAACAGCUUCCAGCAUAUUCCUUUGGAUCAGUUCCCUUAGGUAUCUGUCGGCCACCUCCUCUGGUGUGCUUUGUUCAUUUUGAAGCGCAAAACCUUCUGCAACCCAUAGCCAAACAAGGCUCUCUCGUGACAUUAGGUGAUCCUCAGGGAACAAGCUACAAUAAAAGAAGCAGUUUCUA
rnacentral:lncRNA from 1 species